rnacentral:rRNA from 1 species
CUUGUCGGGUAAGUUCCGACCCGCACGAAAGGCGUAACGAUUUGGGCACUGUCUCAACGAGAGACUCGGUGAAAUCAUAGUACCUGUGAAGAUGCAGGUUACCCGCGACAGGACGGAAAGACCCCGUGGAGCUUUACUGUAGCCUGAUAUUGAAAUUCGGCACAGCUUGUACAGGAUAGGUAGGAGCCUUUGAAACGUGAGCGCUAGCUUACGUGGAGGCGCUGGUGGGAUACUACCCUAGCUGUGUUGGCUUUCUAACCCGCACCACUUAUCGUGGUGGGAGACAGUGUCAGGCGGGCAGUUGGACUGGGGCGGUCGCCUCCUAAAAGGUAACGGAGGCGCUCAAAGGUUCCCUCAGAAUGGUUGGAAAUCAUUCAUAGAGUGUAAAGGCAUAAGGGAGCUUGACUGCGAGACCUACAAGUCGAGCAGGGUCGAAAGACGGACUUAGUGAUCCGGUGGUUCCGCAUGGAAGGGCCAUCGCUCAACG